rnacentral:rRNA from 1 species
CUACGGAGGGUGCAAGCGUUAUUCGGAAUCACUGGGCGUAAAGGGUGCGUAGGCGGUUUGAUAAGUCUGAUGUGAAAUCCUAUGGCUCAACCAUAGAACUGCAUUGGAAACUGUCAGACUAGAAUACUGAAGGGGCAGAUGGAAUUAGUGGUGUAGGGGUAAAAUCCGUAGAUAUCACUAGGAAUACCGAAAGCGAAUGCGAUCUGCUGGGAAGUUAUUGACGCUGAGGCACGAAAGCGUGGGGAGCAAACGGGAUUAGAAACCCCAGUAGUCC